UUAAGUAUCGGGUGUUGACUCGGUCAACGAGACCUUAAUUAGGAAUUUCGAGGACACGGGUGCGUUCGUAGCACGUUUUUGUAUGUCUGUGUAUGUGGUUUGUGAGAAGAUGGCUUUGGAUACUAGUUGGGAUUUCGUGAUUGAGUUGGAUUAUUUUGGGAAAUCUGGUACUGGUGCCUGCCAUGGCGACCCCUAUGUCGCACCAGCGGCACAGCUAUAACAGUUGUCAUGCCGCUGGGGCGGCCAUGUUUUUUUGGUGAUGACUGUCGUGGCGGUCUGAUUGACCGCCGAGGCGGGACCGCCGCAGCGGUCCCGUAGCCAUUGUAACGGUAUCGUGCCUGGUUAUUUCAUUAAUUGUGUAUUAAAAGCCCUUAGUCCCUCAUUAAUUUCUAUUCCAAAAAUUGGGCUUUGGGAGAAAUUCUAGAGUGUUCUUGGAGAAGAUUCUUGGCGGUAAGUCCUUUUAAUCUUUUGGCUAUUCCAUUACCCUAAUCAUAUUAGAAUCCCUUUACCUUGUUAGUUCAUUAAGUGAUGGAAGAUUAAAAGUGGGUAUAAUGAAUAUUCUUUCUAGGCUUCUAAAUCAUGAUUUGUUGGUUAGGCUAACUGAGUUAAGUUCGGUAUACAUUUCAGGAAUUGAGUAAGGCAAUUCGGGCAAGGACGAUUCAGUAGGAUACAUAAGGAUAUUAGUGAUACUGUUGUGUGAUACACCGAAUUUACAGAGCGUUUAGUUCAGAGUGGUAAGCGUUAAGGAAACGCUAAUGUGCAGAGUGUGUGGUACGAUCUUAUCUCUAGGAUUAAUUCGGCUAGUUUGCAAGAUUUAUGAUUAUGUGGUAUUCGAUGGAGUGGAUUCGAGGAUUGAUUAUGGUAUCAAUGAUCGAGAAGUGAUUAGAAAAUUUAGGAAUUGACGAGUCGAGAAAAGGUAUAGUUGAUUGUGAAUCGAUAAGAAAAAGGUUACAUCUUGGGAAUUUCUUGGGUCAGUAUGGAUUAUGGUGUCGUCUUCUUGUAUUUUCCAGUUGAGAUAUGUUUGUUGUGAGAGCUUAAGAAGGAAAUCUAUAGGGAUGGACUAUGUGAUAUGACAGAGUUCCGUGAGGUUCGUGAUCCGCGACUAGUGAGAAGCAUAUUUCAGUGAAUCGACUUGUUGAGGUUUAUAAAAAAUGGCUUGGUGGUACACCGCCGAAUAGGUUUCGUGACCUUCUACAGUGGAUGAGUUAGCAUGCCUUAAGAGAGAAGAUUGUGGAAUCCCUAUCAUGUGAGGACUAGAAGAGAUCCUACUCGUGGUGAUAUUUUAUGUUGCAAGUAGUAUUGACUGGAUAGUUUGGGUAAGUGCUUUUGGUUAUUAAAGACUUGGGGGUGAUUGCGUUAGAAUUCGAGUAAUAGUGUAAGAUUGUAUACUUUCGGACAAUUUACGAACAUAUCAAAGUGAUACUAUGAGAGGUUCACUGGUUAUAUAAUUACUAUAUGAGGCUUCAGGUUUUGCGUCGAAAGUUCGGGGUUUGUAUUGGAUUUUCGUAUCGGGUAAAGGUUGAGAAACAUGAAGAUUGAAAUCGUAAGGUAUAGCUCUUCAGUACUAAGUUGAUAACUCGGAUAGGACUCAACUUGUGGAGUCGAAGGUGAUAGACAUGAUUUGUUAUGAGUGAGGAAAAGAUGAGAAUUGACCACCACAGAGGUGCGAUAGGACUGUGGUUGGUUUCGGGAAUUCGGAGUCAGUUCAAACGACUAUUGGUGAUAUUCGAGAGUUGUGCAUUCACUCUGGGUCAGCAUGGUUUGAGUUAGGCUUUAUAUGGUAGGAGUUGUCGUUCUCCCGUGGGAUUGGUUUGAUGCAUUUGAGGUUCUUCGUAGAGUUGGAGAUGUUGGGUGUUCCUUCGAUUUUCCAUGUGCCUAUGCUAAGGAAGUACCAUUCCGAUGGGUCUUACAUUAUUCUUUGGGAUUCAUCAUUGCGUGAUGAGAACUUGUCUUGUGAGGAGGAGCUUAUUGCCAUCUUAGAUAGGAAGGUUAGAAAAUUGAGAUCUAAGGAGAUUACGUCAGUGGAAGCAUCGUCCGAUUGAGGAGGCUACUUGAGAGACUGAAUCUGAGAUACAUGAGAGAUAUCCCCAGUUAUUUGCCGAGUCAGGUACUCUUCCCUCGUUUCAUUCCCUUAUCGCUCGAAGACGAGCGAUUGUUUAAUUGGUUGAGAAACUAGUUAAGUUAGAAUUGGAGUUGACCAUGAUCAACAUCGGGUCAAGAUGAUCCCGUGUCGGUGUUUUGAAAGUUCCAAUAAGUUUGCAUGAUGAUUUUGGACAUGUCCACAAAAUUUGGUUAGAUUCCAAUGAGUUUUGGAUAAGUUUGGGUUGUAUGGUGAUUGUUUUCGGUUUCGACGUCGAUUUGAGCAUAAAAGGGUACCAUAUUGAGCAAACAGCCUUUGAUUCGUGUUUCGACUGAACCAUUAGAUCCGUAUCGUAAUUUUGGAACCAUAGCAACUGAAAUCAUACGGCAUUUAUGGUCAUUUUCCUAAGAAUUGGGUUGCCAGAUUUUUCAGAUUAAUUUCGAAAUUGCCACUGAAUUCGUAUUUAAAAAUCUGCACUAUUCCAAAUAUUGAAACCAACAUAUCUCAUUCAUUAUAAGGCCAAAUGGAGUGAUUCAAAAGCCUAACUUGACUGGAAUUCCACAAGGAAUCCAUCGGAAGCAUCAAAAGCUAGUUUUGGGGAUAGUUUAGCACCAGAAACGAGGCAGAACAACUGGGCAUUUUUGCUAUUUAAUGUUGUUUGGGUUUCUCUCAUCUUCAAGCUUGGGUUUGGGAGAAUUCAAGGAUGUUCUUCAAGUUUCUUUCAUGGAGUUCCAGGUUGGGUCUUCUUCCGUCUCCCGUGGCUGUUAGUCGCCAUCCAGAUAGCUUCGAGUUUACAGGGUGAGCACCAGACGUUCGCUGCCUUGAAGACUCCUCCUAAUAUGUCUUACUUUUUCUAUUCUGAGACAUAGACAAAUUUGAUGUAUUAUUAUAUUCCAGACUUGUAUAUUUUCACUUAGAUGCUCUUGUAUGGCUUAGACCAGACCCUGGGGGUAUUUCGUUAUUUCCGCACUAUUCUAUUAUAUAUUACUGUAAGACUUAUGUGAUUAUUCUCUUCCGCUUGAUUGAUUAAUUAUUUAUGUUUUUA